UCAUAUCACGUUGUAAAACCGAUUCCCAGACGAUCAUUAAAGUUAAGCGACGUCGAGCCUGAUCAGUACCUAGAUGUAUGACCGCUUGGGAAUACCUGGUGUUGUAA